rnacentral:rRNA from 1 species
AUUGAACGCUGGCGGCAUGCCUUACACAUGCAAGUCGAACGGCAGCGGACCUUCGGGUGCCGGCGAGUGGCGAACGGGUGAGUAAUAUAUCGGAACGUACCUUUCAGUGGGGGAUAACGUAGCGAAAGUUACGCUAAUACCGCAUAUUCUGUGAGCAGGAGAGCAGGGGAUCGCAAGACCUUGCGCUGAUUGAGCGGCCGAUAUCAGAUUAGCUAGUUGGUGAGGUAAAGGCUCACCAAGGCGACGAUCUGUAGCGGGUCUGAGAGGAUGAUCCGCCACACUGGAACUGAGACACGGUCCAGACUCCUACGGGAGGCAGCAGUGGGGAAUUUUGGACAAUGGGCGCAAGCCUGAUCCAGCCAUGCCGCGUGAGUGAAGAAGGCCU